rnacentral:rRNA from 1 species
UACGGGAGGCAGCAGUGGGGAAUAUUGCACAAUGGGCGAAAGCCUGAUGCAGCUAUGCCGCGUGUAUGAAGAAGGCCUUAGGGUUGUAAAGUACUUUCAUCGGGGAGGAAAAAACAAAACUAAUAAUUUUAUUUCUUGACGUUACCCGAAAAAGAAGCACCGGCUAACUCCGUGCCAGCAGCCGCGGUAAUACGGAGGGUGCUAGCGUUAAUCAGAAUUACUGGGCGUAAAGAGCACGUAGGUGGUUUUUUUAAGUCAGAUGUGAAAUCCCUGGGCUUAACCUAGGAACUGCAUUUUGAAACUGAAAGUACUAGAGUAUCGUAGAGGGAGGUAGAAUUCUAGGUGUAGCGGUGAAAUGCGUAGAUAUCUGGAGGAAUACCUGUGGCGAAAGCGGCCUCCUAAACGAAUACUGACACUGAGGUGCGAAAGCGUGGGGAGCAAACAGGGAUUAGAUACC